UGAUGCUACCCGGGUUCGAACCGGAGACCUUUUGCGUGUAAAGCAAACGUGAUAACCACUACACCACAGCACC
rnacentral:tRNA from 1 species